UAGGGGGAUUCCCCUAGUAGCGGCGAGCGAAGCGGGAAGAGCUCAAAUUUAUAAUCUGGCACCUUCGGUGUCCGAGUUGUAAUCUCUAGAAAUGUUUUCCGCGUUGGACCGCACACAAGUCUGUUGGAAUACAGCGGCAUAGUGGUGAGACCCCCGUAUAUGGUGCGGACGCCCAGCGCUUUGUGAUACAUUUUCGAAGAGUCGAGUUGUUUGGGAAUGCAGCUCAAAUUGGGUGGUAAAUUCCAUCUAAAGCUAAAUAUUGGCGAGAGACCGAUAGCGAACAAGUACCGUGAGGGAAAGAUGAAAAGCACUUUGGAAAGAGAGUUAACAGUACGUGAAAUUGUUGGAAGGGAAACGCUUGAAGUCAGACUUGCUUGCUGAGCAAUCGGUUUGCAGGCCAGCAUCAGUUUUCCGGGAUGGAUAAUGGUAGAGAGAAGGUAGCAGUUUCGGCUGUGUUAUAGCUCUCUGCUGGAUACAUCUUGGGGGACUGAGGAACGCAGUGUGCCUUUGGCGGGGGUUUCGACCUCUUCACACUUAGGAUGCUGGUGGAAUGGCUUUAAACGACCCGUCUUGAACCACGGACCA
rnacentral:rRNA from 1 species